CCGGCACGGGUGCGUAACGCGUAUGCAACCUACCAUCAACAGGGGGAUAACACUGAGAAAUUGGUACUAAUACCCCAUAAUAUCUCAUGCGGCAUCGCAUGGGGUUGAAAACUCCGGUGGUUGAUGAUGGGCAUGCGUUGUAUUAGCUGGUUGGUGAGGUAACGGCUCACCAAGGCGACGAUACAUAGGGGGACUGAGAGGUUAACCCCCCACAUUGGGACUGAGACACGGCCCAGACUCCUACGGAAGGCAGCAG
rnacentral:rRNA from 1 species